GCUUGCUUUUGAUGGGCGUCGACCGGCGCACGGGUGAGUAACGCGUAUCCAACCUGCCCAUCACUUGGGGAUAACCUUGCGAAAGUAAGACUAAUACCCAAUGACGUCUCUAGAAGACAUCUGAAAGAGAUUAAAGAUUUAUCGGUGAUGGAUGGGGAUGCGUCUGAUUAGCUUGUUGGCGGGGUAACGGCCCACCAAGGCAACGAUCAGUAGGGGUUCUGAGAGGAAGGUCCCCCACAUUGGAACAGAGACACGGUCCAAACUCCUACGGGAGGCAGCAGUGAGGAAUAUUGGUCAAUGGGCGAGAGCCUGAACCAGCCAAGUAGCGCGCAGGAUGACGGCCCUAUGGGUUGUAAACUGCUUUUAUAAGGGAAUAAAGUGAGUCUCGUGAGACUUUUUGCAUGUACCUUAUGAAUAAGGACCGGCUAAUUCCGUGCCAGCAGCCGCGGUAAUACGGAAGGUCCGGGCGUUAUCCGGAUUUAUUGGGUUUAAAGGGAGCGUAGGCCGGAGAUUAAGCGUGUUGUGAAAUGUAGACGCUCAACGUCUGCACUGCAGCGCGAACUGGUUUCCUUGAGUACGCACAAAGUGGGCGGAAUUAGUGGUGUAGCGGUGAAAUGCUUAGAUAUCACGAAGAACUCCGAUUGCGAAGGCAGCUCACUGGAGCGCAACUGACGCUGAA
rnacentral:rRNA from 1 species